GGGUCAACAGUUCACCCAGGCGUCGCCGGCGAUUUCGCCACGCUAAACCUGUCU
rfam:Chromobacterium amazonense strain DSM 26508 Camzn_DSM26508.12, whole genome shotgun sequence.